AACGAACGCUGGCGGCGUGCCUAAUACAUGCAAGUCGAACGAAGCUGUUUUAACUGGUGCUUGCACCGACUUAAACAACUGAGUGGCGAACGGGUGAGUAACACGUGGGUAGCCUGCCCCAAAGCGGGGGAUAACAUUUGGAAACAGAUGCUAAUACCGCAUAACCACAGAAACCACAUGGUUUCUGUGUCAAAGAUGGUUGCGGCUAUCACUUUGGGAUGGACCCGCGGCGUAUUAGCUAGUUGGUAAGGUAAUGGCUUACCAAGGCAAUGGUACGUAGCCGAACUGAGAGGUUGAUCGGCCACACUGGGAAUGAGACACGGCCCAAACUGGUACGGGAGGCAGCAGUAGGGAAUCUUCACAGUGGACGGAAGUCUGAUGGAGCAACGCCGCGUGAGUGAAGAAGGUUUUCGGAUCGUAAAACUCUGUUGUCAGAGAAGAACGUGUGCGAGAGUAACUGUUCGUGCAGUGACGGUAUCUGGCCAGAAAGCCACGGCUAACUACGUACCAGCCGCCGCUGUAA
rnacentral:rRNA from 1 species